rnacentral:lncRNA from 1 species
UUGUUAUUAUUUAUUAUCCUGAAGUACCUCAUUUAUUGUAAGCCUCAUUGCUCUUGAUAUAUGUAUGUUUAACUUUUGAUCUUAUGUUGAAUAAUUUUUCAUGCUUCCUUGACUACAGAUUUGUUUUUUACGGUUUUGAACAUUGGUUUACGUCCUUGAUUAUAGAUUUUGAUGGUUCAGUGGCUACUGUUUAGUAUUUGCAGCAAUUUAUGCUUUGUGUGAUUUGACUUUUUGGCUACUAUAUGGACCUAAUGAGUAAUGAACUUCACAUCUUAUUUUAAGUUGAUCGUGGUACCCAUUGUGAAACCUCACAUCAUGUUACAAGUGUUCAUGAACUAGUAUAGGGGAUUGAAUGGAUCCUAGGGAUUGUUACUCAUCUCUUGGCACUAAUUGCAUCAUUAUUUGUUCUGCUUUCUUGACAUUCUGAAUUUUUUUUGCACUGCUGCUGUUUGUAAUCCUUUUGCUAUUUUCAUAGUUAUGGUUGAUCUGAUGAAGUUCCCCGGGAGUUUCACCCGAUGAGGGUUGUGGGGUAGAAUAUUGACUCAACCUUCAUUACCUUGGUGCUUAAGAAAACAUAGAUUGUUAAGAG